ensembl:lncRNA
CGAGAGUCGAGCCCUUUGAGGUGGCUUAGGUGGUCCCCCCCUUCCCGAGUUGACAGCAUCACCCCGUCCCGUAUCUUCCUCCCCUCUGUUUUGUUUUUCAUCUCUCCCUCCUGUCUCCAGUCUGCGACGACUGGCCCCAUAGAUCCUCGCUGAAGGUGAGGAGCUGAGUCGCUGGCGAGUGGGCCGCUCCGAAAUGGCCGCUGCCUUGAGCUGUCUAAAAUGGCGGUCUCGUGCUCGGCUGGGGACCGCGACUCUGCUCUGCAGCCCAGCCGCGGCCGAGACGGUAGGCCGAUGGAGAUGGAGUAGAAAGGUGUCGGGUGUUGACACGACUUCAUUGUCGACAGCACCGGCGACAUCCCGAGCGAGAGGAAUCCUGAGGCAAUGAUGGAGGACCAACAAACAGAACGCUCUCCUAUCGAUGGGCACUUCAGCAAAGCUCCCAGACGCCUGACAGAGGCCAGGCCGCGAGGCCAUGCGGAGCUCUCGGGACGCCAGGCCCGGGCGGGUCAGGGAGGAGAGGCGGAGAGGCUCUUCUAGGCAAGCAUGAUACUCGGACUCCGGAACAAAGCGCCGGCCCAGGAAGACCAGGCGGCCGGGCGACGCACACUCACAGGACUCCGGGCGCAACGCAAGAGUCCCGCAGCUCACCAGCCCGCCGCCCUUACG